GGCCUUCUUUAUAAUCUCAGCCCUGAUUGAAGGACAGGAAAGAAGGGGAAAAAAGGUUCAUUCAAACUUAAUACUGUGUUCUGAUAUGCUUUUUUAUUUUUACCUGACAUGUUAUGAUUGAUACAUAUAUACAUGUCAAUUUUCUAGAUGAAAAUUUUAAUUUGCUUUAAGUGUCUAGUGAGACAAGCAUAUAAACCUUUUACUAAACAAAGACAACUGUUGUCAGGAGGGUUCUUCGCUCAAGAAAGAAAAAGGAUCCAUAUAGCUGAUCUCAACUAGUUUGGAAUUAAGGCU
rnacentral:misc_RNA from 1 species